GCGUCGGUGGUUCAGUGGUAGAAUACUCGCCUGCCACGCGGGUGCCCCGGGUUCGAUUCCCGGCCGACGCG
rnacentral:tRNA from 1 species